UACAGAGGGUGCGAGCGUUGUCCGGAAUCACUGGGCGUAAAGGGCGCGUAGGUGGCGCGGUGCGCGUGCCGUGAAAGCCCGGGGCUCAACCCCGGGUCGGCGGUGCGAACGGCCGUGCUCGAGCGUACGAGAGGCAGGCGGAAUUCCGGGUGUAGCGGUGGAAUGCGUAGAGAUCCGGAAGAACACCGGUGGCGAAGGCGGCGAUCUGGGAAGAUACUGACGCUGAGGUGCGAAAGCGUGGGGAGCAAACAGG
rnacentral:rRNA from 1 species